AGAGUUUGAUCCUGGCUCAGGAUGAACGCUAGCGGCAGGCUUAACACAUGCAAGUCGAGGGGUAACAGGGUGCUUGCACCGCUGACGACCGGCGCACGGGGGCGUAACGCGUAACGCGUAUACAAUCUACCUUUUACAGAGAGAUACCCCAGAGAAAUUUGGAAUAAUACCUCAUAAUAUUAUUGCUCGGCAUCGAGUGACAAUUAAAGUUUCGGCGGUAAAAGAUGAGUAUGCGUCCUAUUAGCUAGUUGGUAAGGUAACGGCUUACCAAGGCGACGAUAGGUAGGGGUCCUGAGAGGGAGAUCCCCCACACUGGUACUGAGACACGGACCAGACUCCUACGGGAGGCAGCAGUGAGGAAUAUUGGUCAAUGGGCGAAAGCCUGAACCAGCCAUGCCGCGUGCAGGAAGACUGCCCUAUGGGUUGUAAACUGCUUUGAUGGGGGACGAAACAGGUCUAUGCGUAGGCCGAUGAGAGUACCGUAGGAAUAAGCACCGGCUAACUCCGUGCCAGCAGCCGCGGUAAUACGGAGGGUGCAAGCGUUAUCCGGAUUUAUUGGGUUUAAAGGGUGCGUAGGCGGUCUAUUAAGUCAGCGGUGAAAGUUUUCAGCUUAACUGGAAAAAUGCCGUUGAUACUGAUAGGCUUGAGUACAUUUGAGGUAAGUGGAAUUCCUAGUGUAGCGGUGAAAUGCUUAGAGAUGACACAGAACACCGACGGCGAAGGCAGGUUACCAACCCAUUACUGACGCUGAGGCACGAAAGCGUGGGGAUCAAACAGGAUUAGAUACCCUGGUAGUCCACGCCGUAAACUAUGAUUACUAGUUGUUGGCGAUACAUUGCCAGUGACUGAGCGAAAGCAUUAAGUAAUCCACCUGGGGAGUACGUUCGCAAGAAUGAAACUCAAAGGAAUUGACGGGGGCCCGCACAAGCGGAGGAGCAUGUGGUUUAAUUCGAUGAUACGCGAGGAACCUUACCUGGGCUUGACAUCCCGGGAAUCUUGUGGAAACACGAGAGUGCCUCGAGCAAUGGCCGUAUACGAGGUGCUGCAUGGUUGUCGUCAGCUCGUGCCGUGAGGUGUUAGGUUAAGUCCUGCAACGAGCGCAACCCUUACCUUUAGUUGCCAGCAUUAAGUUGGGCACUCUAAAGAGACUGCCGGUGUCAAACCGGAGGAAGGUGGGGAUGACGUCAAGUCCUCAUGGCCUUUAUGACCAGGGCUACACACGUACUACAAUGGCAUAAACAAAGGGCAGCAACAUCGCGAGGUGAAGCCAAUCCCAUAAAGCCGGUCUCAGUCCGGAUUGGAGUCUGCAACUCGACUCCAUGAAGUUGGAAUCGCUAGUAAUCGCGGAUCAGCACGCCGCGGUGAAUACGUUCCCGGGCCUUGUACACACCGCCCGUCACACCACGGGAGUUGGUUGUACCAGAAGCAGUUGAGCCAACCGUUUACGGAGGCAGGCUGCCAAGGUAUGGCGAGUAACUGGGGUGAAGUCGUAACAAGGUAACC
rnacentral:rRNA from 1 species